GACGAACGCUGGCGGCGUGCCUAAUACAUGCAAGUAGAACGCUGAAGGAGGAGCUUGCUCUUCUGGAUGAGUUGCGAACGGGUGAGUAACGCGUAGGUAACCUGCCUGGUAGCGGGGGAUAACUAUUGGAAACGAUAGCUAAUACCGCAUAAGAGUAGAUGUCGCAUGACAUUUGCUUAAAAGGUGCAAUUGCAUCACUACCAGAUGGACCUGCGUUGUAUUAGCUAGUUGGUGAGGUAACGGCUCACCAAGGCAACGAUACAUAGCCGACCUGAGAGGGUGAUCGGCCACACUGGGACUGAGACACGGCCCAGACUCCUACGGGAGGCAGCAGUAGGGAAUCUUCGGCAAUGGACGGAAGUCUGACCGAGCAACGCCGCGUGAGUGAAGAAGGUUUUCGGAUCGUAAAGCUCUGUUGUAAGUCAAGAACGGGUGUGAGAGUGGAAAGUUCACACUGUGACGGUAGCUUACCAGAAAGGGACGGCUAACUACGUGCCAGCAGCCGCGGUAAUACGUAGGUCCCGAGCGUUGUCCGGAUUUAUUGGGCGUAAAGCGAGCGCAGGCGGUUAGAUAAGUCUGAAGUUAAAGGCUGUGGCUUAACCAUAGUACGCUUUGGAAACUAUUUAACUUGAGUGCAAGGGGGGAGAGUGGAAUUCCAUGUGUAGCGGUGAAAUGCGUAGAUAUAUGGAGGAACACCGGUGGCGAAAGCGGCUCUCUGGCUUGUAACUGACGCUGAGGCUCGAAAGCGUGGGGAGCAAACAGG
rnacentral:rRNA from 1 species